ACUUGAGACGAUUGCACCUCUCCCCGUGUUUGCGUCCGCUGCCUCUAGGCCACUGACAACCGCUGGCGGUUGGCGGGCCCUCAGCGAAUAGCUGAACGGAGUAGAGGAGAAUGUUUUCUAAUAAAGCAAAGGUAUUAAGCAGAGGACUGCGGGUCCAGGACGCAGGAGUCGGGGCUGGGAAAGCACCUAACACCUGGAAUCGGUUAUUAUAAAGCUCUCGGCCGCUGUGCCUGAAUGGAUUUCAGGACAGCAGCAGGGAGAGCAGACGGUACUACCGCAUUCGCCCAGAAAGGUGGUGGUGCCUGACAAAAGGUGUCAAGCGGGACUCAGGAUUUUUUUUUUUUUUUUUUUUGAGACGGAGUUUCGCUCUCGUUGCCCAGGCUGUAGUGCAAUGGCGCGAUCUCGGCUCACCGCAACCUCCGCCUCCUGGGUUCAAGCAAUUCUCCUGCCUCAGCCUCCCGAGUAGCUGC
rnacentral:lncRNA from 10 species